CUCUGCAUCGCGAAGUGUGACAGGGCUAUYCUGAGUGCCUUCCGCUAAGNAAGGCUUUURCCCCCUCUARAAAKSUUGGAGAAUAAGGAGWGGGCAAGUCUGGUGUCAGCCGCCGCGGUAAUACCAGCUCUCCGAGUGGUGUGGAUGUUUAUUGGGCCUAAAGCAUCCGUAGCUGGUUUURYWAGUCCCYUGUUAAAUCCACCURAUUAAUCGMUGGAUUGCGGRGGAUACUGYUUGRCUAGGRGACGAGAGAGGCMAACGGUAUUUUCGGGGUAGGGGUGAAAUCCUAUAAUCCCUUGGAAGACCACCAGUGGCGAAGCUGCUCUGCUAGAAACGCGCUCCGACGGUGAAGGGAUGAAAGCUGGGGGAAGCGAACCGGAAUUAGAAUACCCGGGUAGUCCCACCUGUAAACGAAUGCAGAACUCAGGUGAUUUGACACGGUCACUUGCCGAUUCWAGKGCCCCAGGGAAGCUGUUAAUYUUGCCGCCUGGGAGUACGAUCGCAGGAUUGAAACUUAAAGGAWUUGGCGGGGGAACAC
rnacentral:rRNA from 1 species